rnacentral:rRNA from 1 species
GAUGGACGCUGGCGGCGUGCCUAAUACAUGCAAGUCGAGCGAACGGACGAGAAGCUUGCUUCUCUGAUGUUAGCGGCGGACGGGUGAGUAACACGUGGAUAACCUACCUAUAAGACUGGGAUAACUUCGGGAAACCGGAGCUAAUACCGGAUAAUAUUUUGAACCGCAUGGUUCAAAAGUGAAAGACGGUCUUGCUGUCACUUAUAGAUGGAUCCGCGCUGCAUUAGCUAGUUGGUAAGGUAACGGCUUACCAAGGCAACGAUGCAUAGCCGACCUGAGAGGGUGAUCGGCCACACUGGAACUGAGACACGGUCCAGACUCCUACGGGAGGCAGCAGUAGGGAAUCUUCCGCAAUGGGCGAAAGCCUGACGGAGCAACGCCGCGUGAGUGAUGAAGGUCUUCGGAUCGUAAAACUCUGUUAUUAGGGAAGAACAUAUGUGUAAGUAACUGUGCACAUCUUGACGGUACCUAAUCAGAAAGCCACGGCUAACUACGUGCCAGCAGCCGCGGUAAUACGUAGGUGGCAAGCGUUAUCCGGAAUUAUUGGGCGUAAAGCGCGCGUAGGCGGUUUUUUAAGUCUGAUGUGAAAGCCCACGGCUCAACCGUGGAGGGUCAUUGGAAACUGGAAAACUUGAGUGCAGAAGAGGAAAGUGGAAUUCCAUGUGUAGCGGUGAAAUGCGCAGAGAUAUGGAGGAACACCAGUGGCGAAGGCGACUUUCUGGUCUGUAACUGACGCUGAUGUGCGAAAGCGUGGGGAUCAAACAGGAUUAGAUACCCUGGUAGUCCACGCCGUAAACGAUGAGUGCUAAGUGUUAGGGGGUUUCCGCCCCUUAGUGCUGCAGCUAACGCAUUAAGCACUCCGCCUGGGGAGUACGACCGCAAGGUUGAAACUCAAAGGAAUUGACGGGGACCCGCACAAGCGGUGGAGCAUGUGGUUUAAUUCGAAGCAACGCGAAGAACCUUACCAAAUCUUGACAUCCUUUGACAACUCUAGAGAUAGAGCCUUCCCCUUCGGGGGACAAAGUGACAGGUGGUGCAUGGUUGUCGUCAGCUCGUGUCGUGAGAUGUUGGGUUAAGUCCCGCAACGAGCGCAACCCUUAAGCUUAGUUGCCAUCAUUAAGUUGGGCACUCUAAGUUGACUGCCGGUGACAAACCGGAGGAAGGUGGGGAUGACGUCAAAUCAUCAUGCCCCUUAUGAUUUGGGCUACACACGUGCUACAAUGGACAAUACAAAGGGCAGCGAAACCGCGAGGUUAAGCAAAUCCCAUAAAGUUGUUCUCAGUUCGGAUUGUAGUCUGCAACUCGACUACAUGAAGCUGGAAUCGCUAGUAAUCGUAGAUCAGCAUGCUACGGUGAAUACGUUCCCGGGUCU